rnacentral:lncRNA from 1 species
GUUAAGAAGCAUUCAAGGAAGCUUUGUUCUAAUCUUGUCAUCAUCUUUUCUCACCAUCAUCUUCACUAUGAUUCUUCCCUAGCUUGAAGCUAGUAUCGUGUUUGCUGAGGAGAUUUGGGUUACAAGUACCGAAGACGCAAUACAAUUUUUACAGAUACUUUUAUACAUGGUAUGAUUAGCUAGGGAAUUUACUGUUAGAUCACGUGAAUGGAUAGGCUAUUAUCGUAAGACCAUUAAUCCUUGUAUAAGGACCGAUAGGCAUGAGUGAUAGAUCUAUUGGGUGUUGCGAGCCCCACAAAUGGACCAGCGUGUGGCUGCAUGUGGUGACUAUGUCGUUCCGCCGGAAGGACCGGUAUGAAGUACGCGUUACAGGAAAUUAAGUAUGGAUCUGGCG